rnacentral:piRNA from 1 species
UAAAAUAUGCAAAAUUAUGAUUCAUGAUGGC